rnacentral:rRNA from 1 species
GACGAACGCUGGCGGCGUGCCUAACGCAUGCAAGUCGAGCGGGGUUGAAGCGAGGGGUAACUCGAGUUUCUACCUAGCGGCGGACGGGUGAGUAACGCGUGGGCAACCUGCCUCAAGGACUGGGAUAACAGCUCGAAAGGGCUGCUAAUACCGGAUAAGCCCAUGGCCUCGCAUGGGGCCAUGAGCAAAGGGGAAACCCGCCUUGAGAUGGGCCCGCGUCCCAUCAGCUAGUUGGUGAGGUGAAGGCUCACCAAGGCGACGACGGGUAGCCGGCCUGAGAGGGUGACCGGCCACACUGGGACUGAGACACGGCCCAGACUCCUACGGGGGGCAGCAGUGGGGAAUCUUGCACAAUGGGCGAAAGCCUGAUGCAGCGACGCCGCGUGAGCGAAGAAGGCCUCGGUUGUAAAGCUCUGUCUGGAGGGACGAAGGAAGUGACGGUACCGUCCGGAGGAAGCCACGGCUAACUACGUG